rnacentral:rRNA from 1 species
GUGCCAGCAGCCGCGGUAAGACGAAGGUGGCGAGCGUUACUCGGAAUUACUAGGCGUAAAGCGUGGGUAGGUGGUCCGGUAAGUCUGUUGUGAAAGCUCCCGGCUCAACUGGGAGAGGCCAAUGGAUACUGCCGGACUUGAAUGUGGGAGAGGUGACUGGAAUUCCUGGUGUAGCGGUGAAAUGCGUAGAGAUCAGGAGGAACACCAAUGGCGAAAGCAGGUCACUGGACCACUAUUGACACUGAGCCACGAAAGCUGGGGGAUCAAACAGGAUUAGAUACCCUGGUAGUCCCAGCUGUAAACGAUGCUCACUAGGUGUGGGAGGUAUCGACCCCUUCCGCGCCGACGCUAACGCAUUAAGUGAGCCGCCUGGGGAGUACGGCCGCAAGGUUGAAACUCAAAUGAAUUGACGG